UGCAGGAUGUUCUUCAACAGAUUGGUUCUGUGGACUGUGGUGCGUUCAUGUUGAUUGUUGUCACGGAUCGGGGAAACAGGAGCAGGAAGACGGAGAAUCGGGAAACAAAGGAUUUAUUGGAGAAACCAGUUAGGAACACGGGGCAAUAGAAGUAGCGACUUAAAUGACAGGACUGGGGAAACAUAUUUUGACGCGGAGUUAAAUACGCGGAGCAGUGGACGAGCGCCCAAGACAACUUGAGUUGGAGGGAUUUGACAAAAACAUCCUUUUAGAAAUGCGUGAGGAAGGUCAAGACUCUGGUCUCCAGCUCACCGCUCUCUGUUACAUUUCCAUGGCCAUGUUGUCCGAUAGUAUUAUUGGAUUUUUCUGUACUAUAGUUUUUUAUGUUUAAUUAUUGCACGCUAUAUAAAUUGUUAUAAUAGUUUAUUUUUCCUUUUGAUGUGUGUGUGCUUAAAAGUAUUAAAUAUGAGUAAUAGCAAAUACAGUUUCCUCAGUAAUGUAUUUCAUGAAAUGAUAUUUUCCCAACAAAACCCAUGUUUGCAUUCAAGUCUCUUAUGGUUUGUACAUAAUAUUUGCAACAAUUGUAAAUAUUUUGCAGAAUAUGUACUACAAGCCUCUGCAGUUGCAGCCGCACCC